rfam:Danio rerio chromosome 4, GRCz11 reference primary assembly.
GGCUCGUUGGUCUAGGGGUAUGAUUCUCGCUUCGGGAGCGAGAGGUCCUGGGUUUAAAUCCCGGAUGAGCCC